rnacentral:rRNA from 1 species
AGCAGCCGCGGUAAUUCCAGCUCCAAUAGCGUAUAUUAAAGUUGUUGCAGUUAAAAAGCUCGUAGUUGAAUUUCGGGAUUGGCGCAUCGGUCGUGCCUCACGGGGUAUGAACUGGUGCAGUCAAUUUCUCACCUUCUGGAGAACCGCGAUGUCCUUAAUUGGAUGCCGCGGGGAACCAGGACCUUUACUUUGAAAAAUUAGAGUGUUUAAAGCAGGCAUUUUUGCUUGAAUACAUUAGCAUGGAAUAAUAAAAUAGGACGGCAUGGUUCUAUUUUGUUGGUUUCUAGGACCACCGUAAUGAUUAAUAGGGAUAGUUGGGGGCAUUAGUAUUCAAUUGUCAGAGGUGAAAUUCUUGGAUUUAUUGAAGACUAACUACUGCGAAAGCAUUUGCCAAGGAUGUUUUCAUUAAUCAAGAACGAAAGUUAGGGGAUCGAAGACGAUCAGAUACCGUCGUAGUCUUAACCAUAAACUAUGCCGACUAGGAAUCAGACGAUGUUAAU